rnacentral:rRNA from 1 species
AACGAACGCUGGCGGCAGGCUUAACACAUGCAAGUCGAGCGCCCCGCAAGGGGAGCGGCGGACGGGUGAGUAACACGUGGGAACGUGCCUUUAGGUUCGGAAUAACUCAGGGAAACUUGUGCUAAUACCGAAUGUGCCCUUCGGGGGAAAGAUUUAUCGCCUUUAGAGCGGCCCGCGUCUGAUUAGCUAGUUGGUGAGGUAAAGGCUCACCAAGGCGACGAUCAGUAGCUGGUCUGAGAGGAUGAUCAGCCACAUUGGGACUGAGACACGGCCCAAACUCCUACGGGAGGCAGCAGUGGGGAAUCUUGCGCAAUGGGCGAAAGCCUGACGCAGCCAUGCCGCGUGAAUGAUGAAGGUCUUAGGAUUGUAAAAUUCUUUCACCGGGGACGAUAAUGACGGUACCCGGAGAAGAAGCCCCGGCUAACUUCGUGCCAGCCGCCGCCGUAAAAC